GACGAACGCUGGCGGCGUGCUUAACACAUGCAAGUCGAACGAAGAGCGAUGGAAGCUUGCUUCUAUCAAUCUUAGUGGCGAACGGGUGAGUAACGCGUAAUCAACCUGCCCUUCAGAGGGGGACAACAGUUGGAAACGACUGCUAAUACCGCAUACGAUCUAAUCUCGGCAUCGAGGAUAGAUGAAAGGUGGCCUCUACAUGUAAGCUAUCACUGAAGGAGGGGAUUGCGUCUGAUUAGCUAGUUGGAGGGGUAACGGCCCACCAAGGCGAUGAUCAGUAGCCGGUCUGAGAGGAUGAACGGCCACAUUGGGACUGAGACACGGCCCAGACUCCUACGGGAGGCAGCAGUGGGGAAUCUUCCGCAAUGGACGAAAGUCUGACGGAGCAACGCCGCGUGAGUGAUGACGGCCUUCGGGUUGUAAAGCUCUGUUAAUCGGGACGAAAGGCCUUCUUGCGAAUAGUUAGAAGGAUUGACG
rnacentral:rRNA from 1 species